CUUACGGGUGGCAGCAGUGAGGAAUAUUGGUCAAUGGCCGUAAGGCUGAACCAGCCAAGUCGCGGGAAGGAAGAAGGAUCUAUGGUUUGUAAACUUCUUUUAUAUGGGGAUAAAGUGAGGAACGUGUUCCCUUUUUUAUGUACCAUAUGAAUAAGUCUUGGCUAGCUCCCUGCCAGGAGCCCGGGUAAUACGGAGGAGGCGAGCGUUAUUCGGAUUUAUUGGGUUUAAAGGGUGCGUAGGGGGUUAAGUAAGUCAGCGGUGAAAGUUUGUGGCUCAACCAUAGAAUUGCCGUUGAAACUGGUUGACUUGAGUAUAUUUGAGGUAGGCGGAAUGCGUGGUGUAGCGGUGAAAUGCAUAGAUAUCACGCAGAACUCCGAUUGCGAAGGCAGCUUACUAAACUAUAACUGACACUGAAGCACGAAAGCGUGGGGAUCAAACAGGAUUAGAUACCCGAGUAGUC
rnacentral:rRNA from 1 species